rnacentral:rRNA from 1 species
GACGUAGGGGGCCAGCGUUGUUCGGAAUUACUGGGUGUAAAGGGUUCGUAGGCGGUGCGGCAAGUUGGGAGUGAAAUCUCUGGGCUUAACCCAGAGGCUGCUUCCAAAACUGCUGUGCUUGAGUGUGGGAGAGGCGCGUGGAAUUGCAGGUGUAGCGGUGAAAUGCGUAGAUAUCGUGAGGAAUACCAGAGGCGAAGGCGGCUACCUGGACAAUUGCUGACGCUCAGGCACGAAAGCGUGGGGAGCAAAAGGG